GCACAAGCGGUGGAGCAUGUGGUUUAAUUCGACGCAACGCGAAGAACCUUACCAGGGCUUGACACUCCCCUGACCGCGUAUGAAAGUACGUUUUCACCCUCGGGUGACAGGGAGACAGGUGGUGCAUGGUUGUCGUCAGCUCGUGUCGUGAGAUGUUGGGUUAAGUCCCGCAACGAGCGCAACCCCUACGUUUAGUUGCUAACGCGUGAAGGCGAGCACUCUAGACGAACUGCCGUUGACAAAACGGAGGAAGGUGGGAUGACGUCAAAUCAUCAUGCCCCUUAUGUUCUGGGCUACACACGUGCUACAAUGGCCGGUACAGACGGACGCAAAGCCGCGAGGUGGAGCAAAUCCGAAAAAGCCGGUCUCAGUUCGGAUUGCAGGCUGCAAUUCGCCUGCAUGAAGUCGGAAUCGCUAGUAAUCGCAGGUCAGCAUACUGCGGUGAAUACGUUCCCGGGCCUU
rnacentral:rRNA from 1 species